ACCAUUACUAGUUGAUGCUAAUGUUGAGGCUUGGGUCUAGAUGACCGAGAAGUUGAUGGUGAAGAUGAGAGCCACAAUAGUGAUGACAAAAGAAACCCUAAAAAUUGAUGCCAUCUUGACCAAGUAGUCAAGAAAAAAAAUCAACUAAUUGGCCAUCGAUCUCUUUAUCUUGCUCAACAAAGAGAAGAAACCCUAUACCACAUAGAGGAGAGGAAAGGGAAAUAGUGAUGGUAGAAUAAGCGAGAGCGGCGACUAAGGUUAAAGCCUUAAAGGCUUCAUAAACAAUCUCACACACACACACA
rnacentral:lncRNA from 1 species